AUGAACGCUGGCGGCGUGCCUAAUACAUGCAAGUCGAGCGAACAGACGAGGAGCUUGCUCCUCUGACGUUAGCGGCGGACGGGUGAGUAACACGUGGAUAACCUACCUAUAAGACUGGGAUAACUUCGGGAAACCGGAGCUAAUACCGGAUAAUAUAUUGAACCGCAUGGUUCAAUAGUGAAAGACGGUUUUGCUGUCACUUAUAGAUGGAUCCGCGCCGCAUUAGCUAGUUGGUAAGGUAACGGCUUACCAAGGCAACGAUGCGUAGCCGACCUGAGAGGGUGAUCGGCCACACUGGAACUGAGACACGGUCCAGACUCCUACGGGAGGCAGCAGUAGGGAAUCUUCCGCAAUGGGCGAAAGCCUGACGGGGCAACGCCGCGUGAGUGAUGAAGGUCUUCGGAUCGUAAAACUCUGUUAUUAGGGAAGAACAAAUGUGUAAGUAACUAUGCACGUCUUGACGGUACCUAAUCAGAAAGCCACGGCUAACUACGUG
rnacentral:rRNA from 1 species